UACGAGAACUCCAAGCGUUAUCCGAAUUUAUUGGGCGUAAAGCGUAUGUAGGGGGCUUGAUGCGUCUGCCGUUAAAUCUCACCGCCCAACGGUGAGGCCGCGGUAGAUACGGUCAGGCUAGAGGAUGCGAGAGGUCUCUGGAACACACGGUGUAGGGGUGAUAUCCGUUGAUAUCGUGUGGAACACCAAAGGCGAAGGCAAGAGACUGGCGUAUUCCUGACCCUGAGAUACGAAAGCGUGGGUCGCGAAGAGG
rnacentral:misc_RNA from 1 species